CGGAGUCUCUGCGGCUGCUACGGCCGGCCGCCUUCCCGCCCCGGCGACUUCCCGGUCCUCCUGCCCCCAGUGGGGAGGCAGUCGCUCAGCCAGAGCUGGGACCUUCGCUCCGCGCCCCGCCGGGACGUGAUCCCCCACGGAGCACUGCGGAGCUCGUGUGCUGCGCUGCUGUGCUGUGCUGCUCGACGGCUGCGCUGGCCCGGGAGUGAGGGAACCCUGCAUAGGACUUGGGGUCGUUCGGCGCAGUUCCAAGCGUGUCUGGAGUUGGGGGACAGAGGGGCGCAUCGGUCUCAAACCCCUCGCGCGGAGGGGCUACCGUCCCGAUCCCCAGGAGACCUGGUCCCACGGUAGAGGGCAGUGACGCAGUUUCUCCCGGCGGCUGCUGCAGGAGUCGCAAGGCAGGGACAGCUCAGACCGCAGGAGGAGCGGCGGGGGGGAAAAGGUUGCUGCGAGGAGCUUCACCUCGGAGCCCAGGAGGCCCCCGGGACCAAGGAGCGCACCGGCUGAGAAAGAGGACUCCAUUCAGUCGGAGACCAACAGCGGUCAUCUGGGGGGCCUAGCGGCUGGCGCUCGUUCCCACCUGCCAGCCUCUCCCCUGCCCAGGCCAUGCCCGUCCCGCAUGCUGCGAAGCGCUUUCCACUCCCGCAGCUGCGCAUCUCUCCAGGAACCAAGGUGGAGAUGCCCUCGCCUGGUGGUCAGUCUCUGAGCUCGAGUCCCUUUUACCCGCCCUUCCUUGCCCGCCUAGAUCGUGGACUCUCCGCAUUCCUGGGAAGACCUUCCAGAGCUUUCUGAAGCGGGUCCCAGACAGAGCGGCAACGCCUUCGGCCUAUGGGGUUCCAAGUUCAUCCCUGGAUGGGGGGGAUACGAGGGGGCGGUGUCGCCGCGAACUGCUCUGCGGAGGAAGAUAACACUCCAGCCUCUUGAAGUCCUAGACCCGGGGCAGAAGGUGCCGCAGCCCUGCUCUUGGAGGCCCGACUGGCCU